rnacentral:rRNA from 1 species
AUUGAACGCUGGCGGCCGGCUUAACACAUGCACGUCGAACGAGUGGCGGACGGGUGCGUAAUGCUUGGGAAUCUGGCUUAUGGAGGGGGAUAACGACGGGAAACUGUCGCUCAUACCGCGUACCAUAGGAUGAGCCCAAGUGGGCUUAGGGAGUUGGUGGGGUAAUGGCCUAACAUACCGACGAUCUCUAGCUGGUCUGAGAGGAUGACCAGCAACACCGGGAGUGAGACACGGCCCGGACUCCUACGGGAGGCAGCAAUGGGGAAUCUUCGGCAAUGGACGGAAGUCUCACCGAGCAACGCCGCGUGAGUGAUGAAGGUUAUCGGAUCGUAAAGCUUUUUUGUAAGAGAAGCGGUAUCUUACCAGAAAGGGACGGCUAACUACGUGCCAGCAGCCGCGGUAAUUC